rnacentral:lncRNA from 1 species
UGGUUCCUUUCAGUCAUGGUGCUUUAUCGCAGCAAUAGAGACCCUAAAACAAUAUCUGGAUCUGACAGAAGAACUUGGGAGUAUCAACCAAGAGGCCCCAAGAGACACGGUGUGAGGCUAAAAAAGUGGAUCCUGAGUGGCUGUGGCACCCUGGGGAUGCUGACGGUGCACAGGACGCAGGGAGGAAAGCUGCAGCAGGGAACAGAACGAGGAACAAGACUACCAAACUCUUGGAGUCCAUAUGAGGCUGCCACAGCUCUAGACCAGUGGUUCUCAGCCUUCCUAAUGCAGUG